GUGAACGCUGGCGGUAGGCCUAACACAUGCAAGUCGAACGGCAGCACCGUAAGAGCUUGCUCUUACGGGUGGCGAGUGGCGGACGGGUGAGGAAUACAUCGGAAUCUACUUUUUCGUGGGGGAUAACGUAGGGAAACUUACGCUAAUACCGCAUACGACCUACGGGUGAAAGCAGGGGAUCUUCGGACCUUGCGCGAUUGAAUGGGCCGAUGUCGGAUUAGCUAGUUGGCGGGGUAAAGGCCCACCAAGGCGACGAUCCGUAGCUGGUCUGAGAGGAUGAUCAGCCACACUGGGACUGAGACACGGUCCAGACUCCUACGGGAGGCAGCAGUGGGGAAUAUUGGACAAUGGGCGCAAGCCUGAUCCAGCCAUACCGCGUGGGUGAAGAAGGCCUUCGGGUUGUAAAGCCCUUUUGUUGGGAAAGAAAAGCAGCAGGUUAAUACCCCGCUGUUCUGACGGUACCCAAAGAAUAAGCACCGGCUAACUUCGUG
rnacentral:rRNA from 1 species